rnacentral:lncRNA from 1 species
CCAGGGGAUCACCAUGGGCACAGUACUCACCAGAGGAUCAGUGAGCACGGGGAUGAAGGCUCCCCACAGCAUUUGAAUGCUGCCAAAAUAAUUUCAGUAGAAUUUAGCCUCUGUGAAAAUUGUUCAGGAAUAAGAGAAUAUUAUUUACAAAACUUAUGUCAAAUCCUUUAGACUUUGCCUGCCCCAGCUGCUGUGUUUAGAUUAGGCUUGGAAACAAGGUGUGGUAAAAAGGAUCUAAAUAUCACUAUUAUGUGAAUAAAUACUGAGAAUUGUAAAGAACUGAGUAAGAUGCAAAGACUGGAGGGUGCCAAAACAACUAAUGACACUUUAUUGAAAGGAAUGUCUCAUAGAAAGUCCAAGGGACGACUUCUACAAACAGUGGCCCGUAGCCAGUCCCUGUGACUCAGCCGUGCCAGGCCACGGGCCACCAAGGGCCAGCAGCGGCCACAUCUCCCGCAGGAGCCAUCAGUCGGUGCCGCUCCGCAGCACGGGAAACGGGGAGCGGGGCUGGCCCGGCUCCGGAGCGGGGCGAGCUGCGGGCACCCUGAGCCCGGCUCCCCGCGUCCCGGGACACGGCCCGGAACGGGCGGGGGCACCGGGCAGGGCACCGGAACGGCGGCACCGGGGUGGGGCACCCGCACUGCCCGUCCUGCCCCGGCACCACGGCAGCGCUGGCUGCGGGACCCCCGGGCAGGGAGGGGACCCGCGGUGAUCCCGGUUCCGAUGCCGGUUCCGGGCCGGGAGGGCACGCGCGGUGAUCCCGAUCCCGGUUCCGAUCCCGGUUCCGAUCCCGGUUCCGGGCCGGGAGGGCACGCGCGGUGAUCCCGAUCCCGGUUCCGAUCCCGAUCCCGGUUCCGAUCCCGGUUCCGAUGCCGGUUCCGAUGCCGGUUCCGGGCCGGGAGGGCACGCGCGGUGAUCCCGAGCGCGGCGCGGCCCCGCGGAGGGCGGGGUCACACAUGCAGG